GUUCCUUCGGGGUGCAUCCAAUAAAAUUGGAAAGAUAUGGAAAAGAUUAGCAUGGCGCGAGGAUGACAAGCACUAAUCAGGAAAUGGUUAAAAAAUUU